CCAGUGGUUACUACAGCCGCGCCCCUACAAACACAUAACAAGGAAGUUUAUAACACUCUUUUCUGAAAAAAUGAAACAGAAAGCAACAGAUCUGAUGUGUAUUAACAUCACUUUGUUGACCACUUUAUUGCUAACCAGUAACGUCAACUACCAAGUCUCCUGGCAACUGAAUUUAAAAAAUUGGAAGCAAUAGGCCUUCAAUUGUAUUUGGAAAACGUUUGCAACUGCGUACUUUUUAUUUACGUUAGUCUACAGGCGUCAAAUCUACAGACAUGACGGAGAAAAUGAAUGGUGCGCCAGACUGCAAGUCCUACCGGGAUGCAGUAGUGGCUCACAUGCCACCUCAGCCCGCAAGAGCACCACCUGAAAAUGUACCACAGUCUAACCUCAAAGUUCGCCUGAGGAAUUUGUUGAGGAGACACCCGGAUGGCAUGCUUCUGGCCCAGCUGAGACGGUCCUGCCCGAUUCUGUUCCAACCAGAGGUCCUGGGUUCCUAUAUCUCCACCACGGAGCUCUUGAACUCGAUGGGGGAUGUGCUACGGAUAGAAGGUUUUGGGGUACAGCGGCGCGUCUAUCCUGUUGGCAUGUAGGCUGCUCAACCACUAAAAGUGGACGAGAAAGAAUAAAUGAUCGGAGUAGGCCACUUAAGACUACUUGCACCAGCACUUUGUAAAUCAUUCUGACAAGGAAGAAAAAGACCUGGAUGACCUAGACCAAACAACUGGCACAGAUGUGUUAGAAUAGAUGUAAGUUUUGGCAAGGCCUACAAUACCUCAGAUAUCCUGUUAAUGAUAUUAUUUUACCAAAGCAUUAAAAUAAGCCAUUGUAAGAAUUCAACAUUUGGGCUCACUAGCAUGUUAUGAAGAGUGAGUGUGAAAACAUUCCAAUUUUUAAAAAAUCAAUAUAUAUAUAUAUUUUGUCAUGAUGAUUCUAGCUCUUAAUGUAUACAAAAAUGCACUUUCUAUGGUGUUUUUCUACCAGCAGUUAUCCUUAAUUUUGAAAAACAAAAUGUAUCAGUAAUGCACUUAAAUAUUGAAGGCUAUUUGCAUUUUGUGUUAUCAUAUAUGUAAAAUUUUAAAUAAGACAUUUGAUAUUGUGUUCUACCAAUUGGCAAGGAAUAAUAAAUGAAAAAAAAAAAAAA